rnacentral:rRNA from 1 species
GAUGAACGCUGACAGAAUGCUUAACACAUGCAAGUCUUUGGCGAAUCUGUGCUUGCACCGGCUAGCCAAGGCGGACGGGUGAGUAACGCGUAAAGAACUUGCCCUGCAGACAGGGAUAACAGACGGAAACGACUGAUAACACCUGAUACAGUUGCCGGCACGCAUGUGCCUGGCAAUGAAAAGAGAUGCUGCAGGAGAGCUUUGCGUCCUAUUAGCUUGUUGGUGAGGUGACGGCUCACCAAGGCGAUGAUAGGUAGCCGGCCUGAGAGGGUGAACGGCCACAAGGGGACUGAGAUACGGCCCUUACGCCUACGGGAGGCAGCAGUGGGGAAUAUUGGACAAUGGGGGCAACCCUGAUCCAGCAAUUCUGUGUGCACGAAGAAGGUUUUCGGAUUGUAAAGUGCUUUCAGCAGGGAAGAAGAAAGUGACGGUACCUGCAGAAGAAGCGACGGCUAAAUACGUG